ACUCCUACGGGAGGCAGCAGUGGGGAAUAUUGCACAAUGGGGGAAACCCUGAUGCAGCCAUGCCGCGUGUGUGAAGAAGGCCUUCGGGUUGUAAAGCACUUCAGUAGGGAGGAAGGUAGUGUAGUUAACACCUGCAUUAUUUGACGUUACCUACAGAAGAAGCACCGGCUAACUCCGUGCCAGCAGCCGCGGUAAUACGGAGGGUGCGAGCGUUAAUCGGAAUUACUGGGCGUAAAAGCGCAUGCAGGCGGCCUGUUAAGUCAGAUGUGAAAGCCCGGGGCUUAACCUCGGAAUUGCAUUUGAAAACUGGCAGGCUAGAGUCUUGUAGAGGGGGGUAGAAUUUCAGGUGUAGCGGUGAAAUGCGUAGAGAUCUGAAGGAAUACCAGUGGCGAAGGCGGCCCCCUGGACAAAAGACUGACGCUCAGAUGCGAAAAGCGUGGGGAGCAAAACAGGAUUAGAUACCCUGGUAGGAUAGCG
rnacentral:rRNA from 1 species